rnacentral:lncRNA from 1 species
GAUGAUGUGGGGUUUAGAGAAAUAGAAAUCAAUGCUUUGUAGUGGGACGCUUCUGUAUAGGAGAUAUAGAUUUCGGAUGCUCCGUGAGCCGAUAGAAUGUUUGCAUCAUUGUUCCAUUUAGAAUUUAGCCUCAACACAUCAACCAUGUGUUACAAGCACACAGUUCAUUCUCUGAAACACACGCACUAAACGAGUUUGCUAUGUUGAGAAGUGAUCGCAAGAGAAAUUCUGGCAGGGCAAAUCCCA